CAACGAGAGCGUCACCCCCGCCGACCUGGAGAAGGUGUUCGCCGACCACAAGAUCUCCUACAGCGGCCCGUUCCUGGUCAAGUCGGGCUACGCCUUCGUCGACUGCCCCGACGAGCACUGGGCCAUGAAAGCCAUCGAAACUUUCUCGGGGAAAGUGGAACUGCAAGGAAAACGCCUAGAGAUUGAGCACUCGGUCCCCAAAAAACAAAGGAGCCGGAAGAUCCAGAUCCGAAACAUCCCGCCCCAGCUGCGGUGGGAAGUGAGUGCUGG